CUAGGUUUGAGUGGGUGGGCCAACAACCCAUCUCGAAGAUCCAACAUCUUCAAACACAACAAUACCGCACACCAGUUUCUCCGGCGGGAGCUUCAAUCAGACAGUGAGCAUGCAAAACGUCUAAAUCUCUGUCAUACCUAGGAGCUCCAUGCUAAACCACCGGAAGGCAUCCAGGGAAGGGAUCCAAUCAAAGCAUAGAAGAACCAACGAUCAAUGGAUGGAAGAAAAGAACCUCAACAGGUUAGCUCAAGUAGACUGGAGGGUGGUAAAACCCCAUAGCCUCUCAAUUUCAUGUAGCUUGAAAGCCUAACGCUAGAACCAAAGCCAACAAAACAACUUGGAUAUGCCACCACCAAGACCAAAGAAACCUUCUUGUCAAUUAAAGAAAAAGAAGCCUAAGAAGCAAAGCCACACAGCGAACCCCCUACGCAAAUCAGCCAAGGAAAAACAUCCUCACUAUAUGUUCUUGAUCUGCAAACCAACAAUCAACAGUCAUCACAAAAGGUAUAUACACUCCAAUCUAACAGUGUGGAGAGUGGAAACCCACAAGCUAGGUCGGGAGGUCACUUCCUGUCCCGUAAGGGCAAGGGAAGCUUCAAAAUAGAGACAAAAGAAAAUGAAAGGAAAAG
rnacentral:misc_RNA from 1 species